rnacentral:tRNA from 1 species
UCCUCGGUAGUAUAGUAGCUGGUAUUCCCGCCUGUCGCGCGGGCGACCGGGGUUCGAUUCCCCGGCGGGGAG